rnacentral:rRNA from 1 species
GACGAACGCUGGCGGCGUGCUUAACACAUGCAAGUCGAACGGAAAGGCCCUGCUUUUGUGGGGUGCUCGAGUGGCGAACGGGUGAGUAACACGUGAGUAACCUGCCCUUGACUUUGGGAUAACUUCAGGAAACUGGGGCUAAUACCGGAUAGGAGCUCCUGCUGCAUGGUGGGGGUUGGAAAGUUUCGGCGGUUGGGGAUGGACUCGCGGCUUAUCAGCUUGUUGGUGGGGUAGUGGCUUACCAAGGCUUUGACGGGUAGCCGGCCUGAGAGGGUGACCGGCCACAUUGGGACUUAGAUUCGGGCCAGGAUCCUACGGGGGGCAAGAGGGGGGGAUUAUGGCAAAUGGGCGGAAGGCUGAUGGAGGAACGGCGGGUGGGGGAAGACGGCCUUCGGGUUUGAAACCGCUUUCGCCUGGUACGAAGCGUGAGUGACGGUAAUGGGUAAAGAAGCACCGGCUAACUACGUG